rnacentral:rRNA from 1 species
GAUGAACGCUGGCGGCGUGCCUAAUACAUGCAAGUCGAGCGAACAGACGAGGAGCUUGCUCCUCUGACGUUAGCGGCGGACGGGUGAGUAACACGUGGAUAACCUACCUAUAAGACUGGGAUAACUUCGGGAAACCGGAGCUAAUACCGGAUAAUAUAUUGAACCGCAUGGUUCAAUAGUGAAAGACGGUUUUGCUGUCACUUAUAGAUGGAUCCGCGCCGCAUUAGCUAGUUGGUAAGGUAACGGCUUACCAAGGCAACGAUGCGUAGCCGACCGGAGGGGGGGACCGCCCAACUGGGAACGAAGAACGGUCCAAGACCCUGAGGGGGGGAGGAGGGGGGAAAUUUUGAGAAAGGGGGGAAGCCUGGACGGAGCAACGCCGGGGGGGGAAAGAAGGUCUUGGGUUGGAAAAACCCUUUUUUUGGGAAAAAAAAAAUGUGGAAGAAACUAUGCCGGUUUGGAGGGGACCAAAACAAAAGCCCCGGGCAAAUUAGGG